UACGUAGGGUGCAAGCGUUGUUCGGAAUCAUUGGGCGUAAAGCGCGAGUAGGUGGUUAUUUAAGUCGAUUGUGAAAUCCCUGGGCUUAACCGAGGAAGUGCAGUCGAAACUAACUAGCUAGAAGAUGGUAGAGGAAGGUGGAAUUCCAAGUGUAGAGGUGAAAUUCGUAGAUAUUUGGAGGAAUACCGGCGGCGAAGGCGGCCUUCUGGGCCAUUCUUGACACUGAGACGCGAAAGCGUGGGUAGCAAACAGG
rnacentral:rRNA from 1 species